AAGUAAGAAGCAAAUAUUGCAAUCAGUUUCGACCUGAUCCUUGAUGAAAACCCUCAUCCUUACUUU
rnacentral:tRNA from 1 species